AGCGAACGCUGGCGGCAGGCCUAACACAUGCAAGUCGAGCGGCAGCGCGGGGGCAACCCUGGCGGCGAGCGGCGGACGGGUGAGGAAUUCGUCGGAAUCUGCCUUUCUGUGGGGGAUAACGUAGGGAAACUUACGCUCAUACCGCAUUCGUCCUACGGGAGAAAGUGGGGGACCGCAAGGCCUUACGCACAAAGAUGAGCCGACGACCGAUUAGCUAGUUGGUGGGGUAAAGGCCCACCAAGGCGACGAUCGGUAGCUGGUCUGAGAGGAUGAUCAGCCACACUGGGACUGAGACACGGCCCAGACUCCUACGGGAGGCAGCAGUGGGGAAUAUUGGACAAUGGGCGCAAGCCUGAUCCAGCCAUGCCGCGUGUGUGAAGAAGGCCUUCGGGUUGUAAAGCACUUUUGUCCGGAAAGAAAACCCUGGAGCUAAUACCUUCGGGGGAUGACGGUACCGGAAGAAUAAGCACCGGCUAACUUCGUG
rnacentral:rRNA from 1 species